rnacentral:rRNA from 1 species
GUGACGAAGCGACGCCGCGUGUGGGAUGAAGGCCUUCGGGUUGUAAACCACUGUCGGGAGUUAAGAAUUGUAGGAAUGCUAAUAGUAUUUCUACUUGACUAAGGCUCCGGAGGAAGCCACGGCUAACUCUGUGCCAGCAGCCGCGGUAAUACAGAGGCGGCAAGCGUUGUUCGGAAUUAUUGGGCGUAAAGAGCAUGUAGGCGGCUACGUAAGUCGGUUGUGAAAGCCUUCCGCUUAACGGAAGAAUGGCGGUUGAAACUGCAUGGCUUGAGUGCGGGAGGGGAGAGUGGAACUUCUGGUGGAGCGGUGAAAUGCGUAGAUAUCAGAAGGAACGUCGGCGGCGAAAGCGACUCUCUAGACCGUAACUGACGCUGAGUGUGCGAAAGCUAGGGGAGCAAACGGGAUUAGAUACCCCGGUAGUCCUAGCCGUAAACGAU